ACCUGGCUAGCUCAGUCGGUAGAGCAUGAGACUCUUAAUCCCAGGGUCGGGGGUUCGAGCCCCCCCCUGUUGGGCG
rnacentral:tRNA from 1 species